UGGGGAAUAUUGGACAAUGGGCGCAAGCCUGAUCCAGCCAUGCCGCGUGAGUGAUGAAGGCCCUAGGGUUGUAAAGCUCUUUCACCGGUGAAGAUAAUGACGGUAACCGGAGAAGAAGCCCCGGCUAACUUCGUGCCAGCAGCCGCGGUAAUACGAAGGGGGCUAGCGUUGUUCGGAUUUACUGGGCGUAAAGCGCACGUAGGCGGACUAUUAAGUCAGGGGUGAAAUCCCGGGGCUCAACCCCGGAACUGCCUUUGAUACUGGUAGUCUGGAGUUCGAGAGAGGGGAGUGGAAUUCCGGGUGUAGAGGUGAAAUUCGUAGAUAUUCGGAGGAACACCAGUGGCGAAGGCGGCUCACUGGCUCGAUACUGACGCUGAGGUGCGAAAGCGUGGGGAGCAAACAGG
rnacentral:rRNA from 1 species